rnacentral:rRNA from 1 species
AGGGUUCCUGUCCAACGUUAUUCGGGGCAGGGGGAGUCGACCCCUAAGGCGAGGCCGAAAGGCGUAGUCGAUGGGAAACGGGUUAAUAUUCCCGUACUUGGUGUUACUGCGAAGGGGGGACGGAGAAGGCUAUGUUGGCCGGGCGACGGUUGUCCCGGUUUAAGCGUGUAGGCUGGUUUUCCAGGCAAAUCCGGUUCACUUUAACACUGAGGCGUGAUGACGAGGCACUACGGUGCUGAAGCAACAAAUGCCCUGCUUCCAGGAAAAGCCUCUAAGCAUCAGGUAACAUCAAAUCGUACCCCAAACCGACACAGGUGGUCAGGUAGAGAAUACCAAGGCGCUUGAGAGAACUCGGGUGAAGGAACUAGGCAAAAUGGUGCCGUAACUUCGGGAGAAGGCACGCUGACACGUAGGUGAAGUGAUUUACUCACGGAGCUGAAGUCAGUCGAAGAUACCAG